AACCUAGCACACCUGCGGUGUGUACCUGCGGAAGGAUCAUUACCAGCAGCGGUCCGCGGCCUCGGCCCGGUCCACUCACCCUUUGCGUACCAAACAAGUGUUGCUUUGGCGGGCCUCACCGCCCGCCAGAGGCCUACUACCCUUGCUAUUCUGAUACUGUCUGAGUGUCUUUGACAAUAUUGUAAAACUUUCAACAACGGAUCU
rnacentral:misc_RNA from 1 species